rnacentral:rRNA from 1 species
UGGGGAAUAUUGGACAAUGGGCGAAAGCCUGAUCCAGCAAUACCGCGUGUGUGAAGAAGGCCUGAGGGUUGUAAAGCACUUUCAAUUGGGAGGAAAACAGGCAGGUUAAUAUCCUGUCUCUUGACAUUACCUUUAGAAGAAGCACCGGCUAACUCCGUGCCAGCAGCCGCGGUAAUACGGAGGGUGCAAGCGUUAAUCGGAAUUACUGGGCGUAAAGAGUUCGUAGGCGGUUUGUUAAGUUAGAUGUGAAAGCCCUGGGCUUAACCUAGGAACUGCAUUUAAUACUGGCAAACUCGAUUUUAGAAUAGGGAAGUGGAAUUUCAGGUGUAGCGGUGAAAUGCGUAGAUAUCCGGAGGAACAUCAGUGGCGAAUGCGACUUCCUGGCCCAAUACUGACGCUGAGGUGCGAAAGCGUGGGGAGCAAACA